rnacentral:rRNA from 1 species
GAGUUUGAUCAUGGCUCAGGACGAACGCUGGCGGCGUGCUUAACACAUGCAAGUCGAACGAGAAUCUACUGAAAGAGUUUUCGGACAAUGGAAGUAGAGGAAAGUGGCGGACGGGUGAGUAACGCGUGAGGAACCUGCCUUGAAGAGGGGGACAACAGUUGGAAACGACUGCUAAUACCGCAUGAUGCAUAAGGGUCGCAUGAUUCUUAUGCCAAAGAUUUAUCGCUUCAAGAUGGCCUCGCGUCUGAUUAGCUAGUUGGCGGGGUAACGGCCCACCAAGGCGACGAUCAGUAGCCGGACUGAGAGGUUGAACGGCCACAUUGGGACUGAGAUACGGCCCAGACUCCUACGGGAGGCAGCAGUGGGGAAUAUUGGGCAAUGGGCGCAAGCCUGACCCAGCAACGCCGCGUGAAGGAGAAGGCUUUCGGUAUGUAAACUUCUAUCAGCAGGGAGAAAAUGACGGUACCUGACUAAGAAGCCCCGGCUAACUACGUGCCAGCCGCCGCCGUAA